rnacentral:misc_RNA from 1 species
GAGAUCCAGAAGUUUCAUGGAGUGAAUCAUGUGGUUCAUUUCGAGGUUUUUGCCACAAAGCUACAGCAUCUGUGUCCAUUACUUUCAUAGUAAGCCUUUGUUAUGCAGGGCUUUCGUUGCUUUCGUCUUAUCGGCUUUUUAGCAAGUAUGAUGCACCAGUUGGAUCGUACAACAACAAAGGGGGAAUUGAGAUUGCUAACUAUUGAGAUUUUGAAACUGAUCCCUCUUUAGUUUUGGUUGUUGGUGUUGGUUUUUACUAUAUCAUGUACACGGCUAAUGCUAAUAAAUUAGAUAAUUAGGUACAAUCAAGG